GCACGCGCACAUGAGUGCAGGUAUCCACAGAGGCCAGAGGAGUUGGGAACCAAACUCAGGUCCUUUGGAAGAGCUGUAUGUGCUCCUAACUGUUGAACCGGUUGUCAUGUUUGCAGUGCCAUUGAGGUCAGAGGAGGGCAUCAGAUCCCCUGAACUCCAGAUGGUUAUGAGCAGCCACGCGUGCCCGGGGAAUUGAUCCCUGCUUCCUUGGAAGGCCAGGCGACUGCUCUUAACCGCAGAGCCAUCUCUUCAGCCACAAAAGUUGCUUUCUUUCUUUUUUUUUCUUUUCUUUUUUUCGGAGCUGGGGACCGAACCCAGGGCCUUGCGCUUGCUAGGCAAACGCUCUACCACUGAGCUAAAUCCCCAACCCCCAAAAGUUGCUUUCUUAACCAAUAUCCCUGAAAUCAUUUUGUGACGCCACCUCCCUUCCCAACUACCCACUCCAACUUUCUUCUAUUUCUUUUGCAGAGUUUGGGAUGGAACCAGGGCUUCACACUUGUUAGUCUCCCCCCUGUUAAGCCCUUUGCUUUCUUCCCCUUUUGCUUGUUUAGUUUUUGAGACAAGAUUUUAUGUAACUCAGCUUAGCCUCAAAACCAAUUGUGGGCAAGGGUGGACUUGAACUUCUGACCUUCUCGUUCCAGAGAGCUAAAGGCUUUGAUUUGUAUUUGCACAAGAAAAAAACAAAACAAAACAAAAAACUAUGUUCCUGCAGUAUUUUGGUUUUCUGCCCCUGCUUGAGCCAAUUACUCACGCCACAGUGACAGAACGCACGAAUUGGCUUGUCUUACUGCUUUACAGAUCCCGCCUUAGAGCUAGUGUAAUAGCCAAAUUCAACCAAUAAGUCUCACCUGCCCAAGGACCUGGUCACUUCCUGGAAUGGUGGGAGUUGUAGUUCUUGGAAAAUAACAAAGCCACACGGAACUACCUGUGAUUUUGGCCGAAUGGUUUUGUCCUGGAAAAGACCAUACGACCUGUAUCUUGUUGCCACUCAGUGGGAAUCAGGGGUGGACCUGAACAGAGUCCAUUUUUCCUGGUCAGUACUUAGUUAAAGCUUGCUUCAAAUUUGGCUCAAAAUUGUGGAUUGGUUUUUCUCUUGAGAAUCUCAGGAUUAACACCAGUUUCUAAACCACAUAGUCUUUCAAAUGGAAACCAAGAAUCUCUGGGAUGGGAGAAGUUGAACGCUGAUGAAGGAAUCAGAGUCGUGUGUGGUGGAGCUGGGAAGCGUUGGGCUCAGCAUGGAAGCCGAGAAAACUCACUUGAGAUGGACGGACGGACGUUAAAAAUGAAAGCCUUAUUUUCUGAGUGCUCAGGGAGGUGGCCAGUUCUGGAUCUGAACCUUGGCCCUGGAAAGGGGUUGGGGAUGGGGAACUGCAGUGUUAUCCAACUGUAUUUUGUUUGGCAUUAUGGGCUGAGCAAGGGAAUGUCCGUUGGAGACUGGGCUAUAUCAAUAGCACCUGGUUUCAAGGUCCUUAAUUUCACUUUUGCAGUCAGGUCCCCUCCUGGACUUUGACCUGGAAUUUUAGAAUGAUAAGUGAAUGAAAGAGCGGGCAAGCUGCGUGCAGUCAACUAGGGCAUAGCAGGCAACUGGUUAUAUGGUUUUAUAACUUAUGCACCUUGGUCUAGAUAGUAGCAAUUUCUAUAUUCUUUACUGGUUAGCAGACAAUUAAAAUAUUUGGAGUAAAGGGAUAGGCGUUAAUUCCUAGGCCUGGGAACAAGAACUUCUUUGGCCCUACUAGCAAGAUAGAGAAGUUGUCCUGGAGAUAUCUGGACUCAGACAGCUGUCUCCUUUCAAGUUGUCCCUGAAAUGUCUGGACUCUGACAACUGUUUGUGACAGAAGCUGUUCAACUACAGGGAAGUCCCCAGCUCCCUUAGGGCCUGGGACCAUGAGUUUUGUUUCUCCCUGUGGUUAAAUGGAGUCUGAAGACGAAAUGGCAGCACUUAGGAUACGUUUCUUUUGCUUGUUUCCAACAGGAACAAAACUUGGUUGACGAGCCCUUACCUGGUGCGGACAAGGACUUGGCGUCUAUCCUGAGCAAUGAAAAAGCUGACGGUCAAAAACAAAGAAAAACUGUGAUGUGUCUCAUCCCCUCAGCCACUACCAAGCACAGCAGACCUAGUGCAGAACCUCAAGCAGAGGCAGGGGCAGGACACACUUUCUGUUCUGAGGUAGCACCUGCCACUAUGUAUGACACCUGCCCCAGUCACACAACAGACCUCCCCCCCUUUAUUCUUCUCUUCUCACCUUUCAUUUCCUUGUUUCCCUCCCUUCCUCUGCUCUCCUCCUGUCCCCUCUCCUCUUCCCUUUCUUUUUGUUUCCUUUCUCCUUCUUCCCCAUCCUCCUCUUCCCCAUGCUCCUCUUCUCCUCCUCUUUUCAAGUGGAAGCACAGGGCAGUUUUAUUAAGGAUUAUUAGAAAAAUCCUAAGGCUGGCAGACUGUAAACACCAGCAGCUUCCUAGAAGGGGAUGGAAGAGAGAAAGGAAAAGACAAUGCCAUUAAAUUGUCAUGGAGAUCAGCCACAGGAUGGAUAAGGAGGCUCACGGUGGGGAAGGAAGCUUUAAAGAGGGAGCAAAGAUGCCCAAAAUGUUGGGAGAAAGCCCAAGGUGUCACAGAAAACAUGAUUAGAAGAAAAAUGGAAGAAAAGGAAUAAUUGAGAAAAGCAGGCAGAUUUAUGACCUAUUUAUGGCCUACAGUUUUUUUUUUUUAUUUUUAAUACUGUCCCAUGUAAUCUAGGCUGUCUAUGAACUCUAUAUGUAGCUGAGGCUGCCCUUGAACUUCUGAAGAUUCCAUUUCUACCAAGUUCAAGGAUUGCAGGAUUGUGCUACCACACCCAACUGAUGCUCUCUUGUUAGAAACAAAACAAAACACAAUUCUCACCUCAAAAGGGAUAAGAGAUAGCUUAUUCCAAAGCCAAAUAUGGAUUACCAUGGCCUGGGAACACAUAUUUAGGUUAUUCCAAAUUCUGUUUUCCAACAUGGAGACAGUUUUAUGAAGUUUUUAUAGAAACAAAACAAAAAAAAUCAGAAAUCAAGAUACUUCAAAAAUGCAUUGAUGAAAGCAUUAGGUAGGCGGGUUAAAGAAUGGCACGGAAACCUGCUAUUGGUCUUACACACUGUCUGAUGACAUUCUUAGCCUUUUGAUUGGUGGAAACUAUGGUUUUGUUAAGUUACUUGAUUCUAACACAUGUUAUCUGUUAGUCACAGGGUGUUUGGUCAGACACAGAGGUGGGGAAUGAAUGGCUAUUUGGGGAUCUAAGGAUAGAACAGGGUAAAUUAUAAUUGAGCUCUUCAGCUGCAAUAUUUGACUCUCUUUAUAAUCAUUGAAAUUCUAGUCAGGUUCUUUCUGGGAACCUUCCCUUUCUCUCUCUUCCUCUUCUGCCUCCUCUUUUCAACAAAGUCUUGCUAUGUGAAUGGAGUGAGGACAUGACUGUUCCUAGGUGUGGCUGAGGAGAAGGCUUUAUUGUAGACAUGAGGGAGAGCAUAGCCAGAACCAUCUGGAAGAGUCCAGGCUGAGCAUGGCCAGCAAACUAGACCAGACUAUGAAAGGAAUUCUGGGAGAGAGAACAAGAAAGGAAGAGAGGAGAGAAUGAGCAAAGAAAGCACAUCGGAACCAAGAGAGCAUGUGGCCAAAAUACCAGAUGGGAAUAGGAACCAGAAACUGGGAAGAGAAACAAGGUUUGGCCUCUGGACUGGAGAGAUUUAGGUAGGGGACGGGGUGAGAAGUGUUGAGAGGAGCUGUUACAGGAUAGUGGAUAUUGGUAUUUACUGAAAAAAACCUAUUUCUAGCUGUGGUGUGGCUGAGCCCUUAGCACACAUCUCUAAUCCCAAACAAUGAAGGCAAAGUUUGUUUGUAGCAGGAAGCAGCCAUGUUUGAAAGUGAUGUUAAAUUGAAUGGCAGACAAAGUGACGAAUCAGAGAAAAUUUGACAGAAUAGGAUUGCCCAACUCUCAGGAGAGAGAAAAGGGAAGCUGCUAUGCAGAGAGAGGAAGAAAGCAGUUUUACUGGAACAGUUAUAUAGGGACACAGGUUUCAGAGAGAGAGAGAGAGAGAGAGAGAGAGAGAGAGAGAGAGAGAGAGAGAGAACAAGCUAGACACAGGUGAAGACAGAAUGAGCCAGAGAAUGAGAAGGAAUCAAAAGAUGAGAAGAUUAGAACAGAUUGCUAAACAAUAUACUUGACUUCAGCCAGAUACAUGGCUACUUAGAAUAAAGAAUGAGGAGCUGGAGAGAUGGCUCAGCCGGUUAAGAGCACUGGCUGCUCUUCCAGAGGUCCUGAGUUCAAAUCCCAGCAACCACAUGGUGGCUCACAACCAUCUGUCAUGGGAUCUGAUGCCCUCUUCUGGUGUGUCUGAAGACAGUUACAGUGUACUCAUAUUUAAUAAAUAAAUAUUAAAAAAAAAGAAUAAAGAAUGAAUUUUCCAGUCUCCCUGACAGUAAAA